UACGGAGGGUGCAAGCGUUAUCCGGAUUCACUGGGUUAAAGGGUGCGUAGGUGGGCUAGUAAGUCCGUGGUGAAAUCUCUGAGCUUAACUCGGAAACUGCCGUGGAUACUAUUAGUCUUGAAUCUCGUGGAGGUAAGCGGAAUAUGUCAUGUAGCGGUGAAAUGCUUAGAUAUGACAUAGAACACCGAUAGCGAAGGCAGCUUGCUACACGAGUAUUGACACUGAGGCACGAAAGCGUGGGGAUCAAACAGG
rnacentral:rRNA from 1 species